UCUAGAAGACGCUCUCAGACGACAACACUCCCCAAAACACCUCUCUCGCUCUCUCUCUCAUCUCCUUCAUGCGAACACAUGAAUUCAAUUCAGCAAUGUGUAUUCAGAGUCUUAAAUCGAUCAAUUUUGAACCCUAGAAAUGCUUUCGAAGGCACGUGCUUGAUCAGAUCCUACCGCAGGGGAAGGUACUCAGCAAUGGACUCCCUCUAUUCCAGAAUUUGUUCUAUCGGGAACCCUAAUCUCAGCGUCGUCCCCGUUCUCGAUCAAUGGCUCCAAGAGGGAAAAAAUUUCAGAGACUUCGAGCAUCGACAAGUCAUUCGCAAUCUCCGCUACCGCAAGCGGUACUUUCAUGCCCUUGAGAUAUCUGAGUGGAUGAGUGGCAAAGGUCUACUCCCACUUUCACCAGGUGAUUGUGCUGUGCAGUUGGAUCUGAUUGGCACGGUCCGUGGGCUGAAAGCUGCUGAAAUCUUCUUCCAUAACUUGAGUGACCAAGAAAAGAUUGACAAAACCUAUGGUGCACUCUUAAAUUGUUAUGUCAGAGAGGGUCUUAUUGAUAAGUCCCUUUCCCUUAUGCAGAAGAUGAAGGAGAUGGGUUUUGCUUCCUCUGCCCUCUCUUACAAUGACAUCAUGUGCCUCUACGCACAUACAGGCCAGAUAGAGAAAAUCCCUGAUGUGCUGUCAGAGAUGAAGAAAAAUGGAGUCUCCCCUAACAACUUCAGUUACAAAAUCUGCAUUAAUUCAUAUGGGAGAAGAUCUCAAAUCGAAAGCAUGGAGAAGGUUCUAGAAGAAAUGGAGAAUGACCAUCAGAUCUCUGUGGACUGGAGCACUUAUUGCACGGUAGCCAAUUGCUACAUAAAAAACGGAUUCAAUGAGAAAGCACUCAUUUUCUUGAAGAAAUCAGAAACAAAACUACAUAAAGAUGCAGUUGGCUACAAUUACUUGAUUUCACUCUAUGCAAAUCUUGGGAAAAAAGAUGACGUGAUGAGAUUGUGGAGCCUCCAAAAAGUUGUUUGUAAGAAGCUUUUUAACAGGGACUAUAUAGUCAUGCUGAGUUCUUUGGUGAAGCUUGAUGAGCUGGAAGAAACUGAGGCAUUGGUCAAGGAGUGGGAGUCAUCUUGCCUCUAUUAUGAUUUCCGAGUGCCCAAUGUUCUCCUCAUUGGUUACUGCCAGAAGGGAUUGAUUGAGAAAGCUGAAGCAUCGCUUCAGGAUAUUAUUGAAAGAGGUAAGACUCCUACUCCAAAUAGUUGGGCAAUCAUUGCUGCAGCACAUUUGGAUAAGCAGAACAUGGGGAAGGCUUUAGAAUGCAUGAAGGAAGCUCUGGCAGUACAGGCAGAAAAUCAAGGUUGGAGGCCUAAACCUAGACUGAUUAUAAGCAUAUUGAAUUGGCUUGAUAAAAAUGGAGAAGUUGAAGAGCUAGAAGCUUUUUUGAGAUCAUUGGAGAACAUAGUUUUGGUUGAUAGGGAAUUGUGUCAUGCCUUGGCUGAAGCUAAUUUUAGAAGUAGCAAAGUAGUGGUUGGGAUAGAAGAGGGCAAGGAAGCUGAUAAAAUAGAUGAAGACGAGGAAGAGAAAAAUCUUCUCGGGGAGAAAAAUCUUAUCGGGAAAUGUUUGUAGCAGAACAGAAUGUCCAUUCCAGCUCUCCGUUCCGCUUCCACUGUUUGGUCAGCCAACAUUAAGUUGGAAGGUAGAAUGGCCACUCCCUCAAUGUUGGAAUACCUAUUCUUAUCUAUCAGCUAGGGGAAAGGCAGUCCUUUUCAUGAGAGAAUCAUUACAGUAAUUUUGAGUUGGUCUUCCUUGUCUAUAUCAUCCUUUCUCUCCCUCUCUGUCAAACCGCAAACAGAGCAACACCUACAUGCCUCAUCAUGUCACUACCACCCUCAGCCAUUGUCAACCAUUUAACGUAUUCACCCUUAUUGAAUGAUGCGUGGAGAUUAAGUGAAGCAAUUCAGGGUGCUUCAUUGAGAUAUCUGUCUUGCCUUGGCUCUUCCACCUCAAGCUCACUUGUCCUUCAUAAUCAAGCACCUCACUGGGCAGCUGUAGAAGUUAAAAAAAGUCUUCCUUCCUUUGGACUGCUGCUCUUCCCUCUCUAUGGCCUUCUCGGUUAUCUUACGAGCCGAAUAUGCUCCUGCUGAUGGAAGCUCCUUUCCUUUGGGAGUGGUCUAAGUUUUUCUUGAGAACUGCAGUUUUUCCGAUACAAACAUACAUACAUACAUACAUAUAUUCCCUUCUUGCGUGUGUGUGAAUUUGCCCCUACAGGAAUUUUAGCCCUCAACCUUUUUAUUUUUGAGAUAGAACUUGACUGCAAUUCGUGGCAGUUAUCUACAUUAGUGAGAUAAGGAAACAUACCAUUCGGAGCUAUCUUUAUGGAGUCCGGAUUAGUCUUUCCUAGCUGCAAAGUGCUGCUGAGAUUUUCAAACACACUUAAAAUCGUGUUUUAACUCAUCUGUUCUUGUUUCAAUACCUACAACUAGAACAAAUGUGUUGACACUUGAAACACGCGUUGAAACAAAUAGGUAAUGAUGUUUAAAAGAGAUUUUUAACACAGCUAACUCUUGUUCCAACAUAUUUGUUCUAGAUUUAAACACACAGAAUUUCUGUUGAAAUCUUGAAAAUGUGUUAAAACACUAUUUAAGUGUGUUAGAUAAUUUUUUAGACAGCAUCCUACAGCAGUUGCUUGGUUUAAUUACCAGAUUCACUUGGCUAACAGUUUACUUCAGAAUACUUGAUGUUCACUGGAAGCUGAAUUGAAAUACAUGGAACUUUACAGAGUUGCGUAUAGAAUUCUCUCAAACUGUAAUGCAAAUUCAAACCAUCACAAAACCUGUGGAAACUUGGAUAUAGUCUUUUAUAGAGAGGAGAAGAAAAUUUUAGACAAACAUUUAAAUUAUAAAUAUUGAUACCUUUGAAUGUAAGGAAAAAUAUAAAGACCUAGAAUUGUGAGUCAAAGGAAGUGUGAAAUUGUAAAUAUAUAUAUAUGUUUCUCAAGAAUUGUAAAUAUUGAUGCCUUUAAAUAUUUAAAAAAAUUAAAACAUAUAAGUCUUAUCUUUUUAUCAUUGUCCUUUAUAUUUUUUAAAAAAUUCAAACUUAAUAAUUAUAUUUAUUUGAAAUAAAAAAGACAAAUUAAUAAUAAAUUCAAACUUAAUAAUUAUAUUUAUUUGAAAUAAAAAAGACAAAUUAAUAAUUUUAAAAACAAACAGAUGUAUUAUUACAUGUCUCCAGUUCCGUUCCAAUUUCUAAAUGU